GACGAACGCUGGCGGCGUGCUUAACACAUGCAAGUCGAACGGAAAGGCCUGCUUUCCCUUGUGGUUUGCGGGUACUCGAGUGGCGAACGGGUGAGUAACACGUGAGUGAUCUGCCCCCAACUUGGGUAUAAGCCUGGGAAACUGGGUCUAAUUCCCGAUAGGACUGCAGGGUGGUGCCUGUGGUGGAAAACGAUCUUCUAGUGGUUGGGGAUGAGCUCGCGGCCUAUCAGCUGGUUGGUGGGGUAAUGGCCUACCAAGGCGGCGACGGGUAGCCGGCCGGUGAGGAUGGACGGUGGCACUGAGACUGGGACCAGGCGCCGACGCGUGGGGGAGGCGGGCGAGGGGAGUCAUGGGGCGUGAGCGUGAGCCUGCCGCGGCGCCGGCGCGAAGGAGGUGUCGGCCUUCGAGUGGACUUCUCGUUGCGAGGAAGGGGAAGACGCCUGGUUGGAAGGGUGGUGACGUUAGUGGUAGAAGAAGCACCGGCUAACUCCGUG
rnacentral:rRNA from 1 species